rnacentral:rRNA from 1 species
AACGAACGCUGGCGGCAUGCCUAACACAUGCAAGUCGAACGAUGCCUUCGGGCAUAGUGGCGCACGGGUGCGUAACGCGUGGGAAUCUGCCUUUCGGUUCGGAAUAACUCAGGGAAACUUGAGCUAAUACCGGAUAACGUCGCAAGACCAAAGAUUUAUCACCGAAAGAUGAGCCCGCGUAGGAUUAGCUAGUUGGUGAGGUAAAGGCUCACCAAGGCGACGAUCCUUAGCUGGUCUGAGAGGAUGAUCAGCCACACUGGGACUGAGACACGGCCCAGACUCCUACGGGAGGCAGCAGUGGGGAAUAUUGGACAAUGGGCGAAAGCCUGAUCCAGCAAUGCCGCGUGAGUGAUGAAGGCCUUAGGGUUGUAAAGCUCUUUUACCCGGGAAGAUAAUGACGGUACCGGGAGAGUAAGCCCCGGCUAACUCCGUG